rnacentral:rRNA from 1 species
GAUUAAGUUAUUAAGGGCGCACGGUGGAUGCCUUGGCACUAGAAGCCGACGAAGGACGUUACUAACGACGAUAUGCUUUGGGUAGCUGUAAGUAAGCGUUGAUCCAGAGAUUUCCGAAUGGGGGAACCCAGCACGAGUUAUGUCGUGUUAUCGACAAGUGAAUUCAUAGCUUGUCAGAAGGCAGACCCGGAGAACUGAAACAUCUUAGUACCCGGAGGAAGAGAAAGAAAAAUCGAUUCCCUGAGUAGCGGCGAGCGAAACGGGAAGAGCCCAAACCAAUAAGCUUGCUUAUUGGGGUUGUAGGACACUCUAUACGGAGUUACAAAGGAAUAUAUUAGACGAAUCAUCUGGAAAGUUGAAUCAAAGAAGGUAAUAAUCCUGUAGUUGAAAAUAUAUUCUCUCUUGAGUGGAUCCUGAGUACGACGGAGCACGUGAAAUUCCGUCGGAAUCUGGGAGGACCAUCUCCUAAGGCUAAAUACUCUCUAGUGACCGAUAGUGAACCAGUACCGUGAGGGAAAGGUGAAAAGUACCCCGGAAGGGGAGUGAAAGAGAACUUGAAACCGUGUGCUUACAAGUAGUCAGAGCCCGUUAAUGGGUGAUGGCGUGCCUUUUGUAGAAUGAACCGGCGAGUUACGAUCUGAUGCAAGGUUAAGCAGGAAAUGUGGAGCCGUAGCGAAAGCGAGUCUGAAUAGGGCGUUGAGUAUUUGGUCGUAGACCCGAGACCAGGUGAUCUACCCAUGGUCAGGUUGAAGUUCAGGUAACACUGAAUGGAGGACCGAACCGACUUACGUUGAAAAGUGAGCGGAUGAACUGUGGGUAGCGGAGAAAUUCCAAUCGAACUUGGAGAUAGCUGGUUCUCUCCGAAAUAGCUUUAGGGCUAGCCUCAAGUGAUGAUUAUUGGAGGUAGAGCACUGUUUGGACGAGGGGCCCCUCUCGGGUUACCGAAUUCAGACAAACUCCGAAUGCCAAUUAAUUUAACUUGGGAGUCAGAACAUGGGUGAUAAGGUCCGUGUUCGAAAGGGAAACAGCCCAGACCACCAGCUAAGGUCCCAAAAUAUAUGUUAAGUGGAAAAGGAUGUGGCGUUGCUCAGACAACUAGGAUGUUGGCUUAGAAGCAGCCAUCAUUUAAAGAGUGCGUAAUAGCUCACUAGUCGAGUGACACUGCGCCGAAAAUGUACCGGGGCUAAACAUAUUACCGAAGCUGUGGAUUGUCCGUAGGACAAUGGUAGGAGAGCGUUCUAAGGGCGUUGAAGCAUGAUUGCAAGGACAUGUGGAGCGCUUAGAAGUGAGAAUGCCGGUGUGAGUAGCGAAAGACGGGUGAGAAUCCCGUCCACCGAUUGACUAAGGUUUCCAGAGGAAGGCUCGUCCGCUCUGGGUUAGUCGGGUCCUAAGCUGAGGCCGACAGGCGUAGGCGAUGGAUAACAGGUUGAUAUUCCUGUACCACCUAGCAUCGUUUUAAUCGAUGGGGGGACGCAGUAGGAUAGGCGAAGCGUACGAUUGGAUUGUACGUCUAAGCAGUGAGAUUGAGUGUUAGGCAAAUCCGGCACUCUUAAGAUUGAGCUGUGAUGGGGAGAGGAAAUUGUUUCCUCGAGUCGUUGAUUUCACACUGCCGAGAAAAGCCUCUAGAUAGAUAAUAGGUGCCCGUACCGCAAACCGACACAGGUAGUCAAGAUGAGAAUUCUAAGGUGAGCGAGCGAACUCUCGUUAAGGAACUCGGCAAAAUGACCCCGUAACUUCGGGAGAAGGGGUGCUCUUUAGGGUGCAAGCCCAGAAGAGCCGCAGUGAAUAGGCNCANGCNNCNGUGCUGGAAGGUUAAGAGGAGUGGUUAGCUUCUGCGAAGCUACGAAUCGAAGCCCCAGUAAACGGCGGCCGUAACUAUAACGGUCCUAAGGUAGCGAAAUUCCUUGUCGGGUAAGUUCCGACCCGCACGAAAGGCGUAACGAUUUGGGCACUGUCUCAACGAGAGACUCGGUGAAAUCAUAGUACCUGUGAAGAUGCAGGUUACCCGCGACAGGACGGAAAGACCCCGUGGAGCUUUACUGUAGCCUGAUAUUGAAAUUCGGCACAGCUUGUACAGGAUAGGUAGGAGCCUUUGAAACGUGAGCGCUAGCUUACGUGGAGGCGCUGGUGGGAUACUACCCUAGCUGUGUUGGCUUUCUAACCCGCACCACUUAUCGUGGUGGGAGACAGUGUCAGGCGGGCAGUUUGACUGGGGCGGUCGCCUCCUAAAAGGUAACGGAGGCGCUCAAAGGUUCCCUCAGAAUGGUUGGAAAUCAUUCAUAGAGUGUAAAGGCAUAAGGGAGCUUGACUGCGAGACCUACAAGUCGAGCAGGGUCGAAAGACGGACUUAGUGAUCCGGUGGUUCCGCAUGGAAGGGCCAUCGCUCAACGGAUAAAAGCUACCCCGGGGAUAACAGGCUUAUCUCCCCCAAGAGUUCACAUCGACGGGGAGGUUUGGCACCUCGAUGUCGGCUCAUCGCAUCCUGGGGCUGUAGUCGGUCCCAAGGGUUGGGCUGUUCGCCCAUUAAAGCGGUACGCGAGCUGGGUUCAGAACGUCGUGAGACAGUUCGGUCCCUAUCCGUCGUGGGCGUAGGAAAUUUGAGAGGAGCUGUCCUUAGUACGAGAGGACCGGGAUGGACAUACCUCUGGUGUACCAGUUGUCGUGCCAACGGCAUAGCUGGGUAGCUAUGUAUGGACGGGAUAAGUGCUGAAAGCAUCUAAGCAUGAAGCCCCCCUCAAGAUGAGAUUUCCCAACUUCGGUUAUAAGAUCCCUCAAAGAUGAUGAGGUUAAUAGGUUCGAGGUGGAAGCGUGGUGACACGUGGAGCUGACGAAUACUAAUCGAUCGAAGACUUAAUCAA